rnacentral:rRNA from 1 species
GAUGAACGCUGGCGGCGUGCCUAAUACAUGCAAGUCGAGCGAACAGAUAAGGAGCUUGCUCCUUUGACGUUAGCGGCGGACGGGUGAGUAACACGUGGGUAACCUACCUAUAAGACUGGAAUAACUCCGGGAAACCGGGGCUAAUGCCGGAUAACAUUUAGAACCGCAUGGUUCUAAAGUGAAAGAUGGUUUUGCUAUCACUUAUAGAUGGACCCGCGCCGUAUUAGCUAGUUGGUAAGGUAACGGCUUACCAAGGCAACGAUACGUAGCCGACCUGAGAGGGUGAUCGGCCACACUGGAACUGAGACACGGUCCAGACUCCUACGGGAGGCAGCAGUAGGGAAUCUUCCGCAAUGGGCGAAAGCCUGACGGAGCAACGCCGCGUGAGUGAUGAAGGUCUUCGGACCGUAAAACUCUGUUAUUAGGGAAGAACAAAUGUGUAAGUAACUGUGCACGUCUUGACGGUACCUAAUCAGAAAGCCACGGCUAACUACGUG